rnacentral:lncRNA from 1 species
UAUUUCUUUCUUUUUUUUUUUUUUUUUUUUUGCCAUUUCUUGGGCCGCUCCCACGGCAUAUGGAGAUUCCCAGGCUAGGGGUCCAUUCGGAGCUGUAGCCACUGGCCUACGCCAGAGCCACAGCAACGCGGGAUCCGAGCCAUGUCUGCAACCUACACCACAGCUCACAGCAACGCCGGAUCGUUAACCCACUGAGCAAGGGCAGGGACCGAACCCGCAACCUCAUGGUUCCUAGUCGGAUUCGUUAACCACUGUGCCACGACGGGAACUCCCCAUAUUUCUUUCUAAGUUUAAUGCUAGGUGUUUUUAAUAUCUUCUUGCUCUGAUGAAUGCAUUUUUAAAAUUAUUAUUUUACAUUUUAAGAGACUACUAAUGGUAUAUAGGACUUUCAGGCAUUUUUUUAUUACUUACAUUUAACUGUACAUGCCAUUAAAUGUUCAAAUUCAAUCUUUGACCUAAUAGUUUGUCAAAAGAAAUAACCAUAUUGUCUCUGUUUUCCAGUAUUUGUGUAUCUUGUCUUAGCUAGUUACUUUGACUAAAACUAUCAAAAUAACAUUAGCUAUUAAUGGUAUUUCAUCAUCCACUUUUUGUUCCUGAGUUUAAUUAGAGGCCUUUAAUGAUGCUCUCUCAAGCAUGAUGUUGAGAGAUGGGGUCAGAUAGCUAUUUUGUAAUGUGAUAAAGUUAAAGUGAUAAGGAAUAUGACUCACCCAUAGAAAAGAAUGAAAUAAUGCCACUUGCAGCAACAUGGAUGGAGCUAGAAAUUAUCAUACUGAGUGAAAUAAGUCAGACAGAAAAAGACAGAUAUCAUAUGAUAUCACUUAUAUGUGGAAUCUAAUAAAAAUGAUGCAAAAUAACUUAUUUAUAAAACAGAAAUAAACAGAUUUCAAAACCAAUAUUAUGGUUACCACAGGUGAAACUUGAGGGGAGGGAAGAAUUGGGAGGGUGGGAAUAAUAUAUACACACUACUGUAUAAAAAUAGAUGAUUUAUGAGAACCUACAGUAUAGCACAGGAAAAUCUACUCAAUAGUCUAUAAUAACCUAUAUGGGAAAAAAGAGUGGAUAUAGUUAUAGGUAUGACUUUUUCACUUUGCUGUACACCUGAAACUAAUACAAUAUUGUAAGUUAGUUUACUCCAAUAAGAUUUUAAAAAUAGAUUAGGAGUUCCCAUUGUGGUUCAAUCCUUAACCCGCUGAGCAAGGCCAGGGAAUGAACUUGCGACCUCAUGGUUCCUAGUCGGAUUCGUUUAACCACUGAGAAACGACGGGAACUCCCUUAAGUUUAUACUUUUUACUUUGAUCCAUUAGUAGAUAGAUUGUAUUAAUAGAGUCUCAGGAUCAAGCUGCAUGGAAUAUAACUGGAAUGAAAAAAGUCUCCAUAGUCAAAAAAAAGUUCUACAAAGAACUUUUUUGAAUGUAUAUCUUCUCAAUGAAAUGAACUUGGCUUGUGCUUAAUUAAUUUCACAUAGUGUAAGACUCUAAACUAAUUUUAUGUGGUUUUUAAGUUAUGAAGAAAUUCACUUGAAACAAAUGUAUAAAAAUGGCAAAAAAUUUAAAUGUGAAAACAGUGAUAGGCAUACAAUUAGGAAAAUGGAAAUAGGUCAUAAAAACUAAUCCUCUGUGCCCUCCAAAAGUAAAUAAUGUAUCGUUGAAAAUUAUUUUUGAGUAAUCUAGAAUUUCCUUUCUGAUCAUUUUUUUUACCUUUUAAAAAUUUAGAUACCUGAAUCCCAGAUCAUAGACAUUUUAGUAGACACAUUCUGAUAUUUUCCUCAAGUUAAAUUAUGUAUGUCUCUGAGUGACAGUUAUCAUCGAAACAAACUCUUUUUGCCUAUUAAAAUGCCUAAUGUGAUUUACACACCGGAAGCACUAAAUGAUACUGGUUGGAUUAGAUUAUUCCCACUUUUCAGAGAUUAACGUGUCUCUUGGAGUCAGGGUAGCAUCUCACACAUAAGAAUUAAAGAGCUAUGUCUGUAACCAAAAAUACCCAUGGACAUACUGCAGUUGACCCAUAUCUGUUUUACUAAUCAAGCCCAAUACAAAGGGCUUUCUUGUGGUUAUACCACAAUUUGGAGGUGAGUAGAGUGGGGAAACCACCAAUCAAUUUUAAGGUUGUGUGAAACUUGGAAAAAAUGUGGCGUUUUACAUCGUCUGACAGCAAUAAUGUCCAAUCCUUGAUGGUUACCAUUCUGAUAUAGAAAUAUAUGAAUAUCCAAAAUUACUGGAGUUUAUUGUGACAGUGGCAGAGAAGACCCUAACUACUCAACAUGGAAUUGACUUUUUCCUGCCCCUCUCUUCCUUCCUUGAUUUUUUUGAAAUAAAAAGGAUUUUUGUUUGAGUUUUUGUUUUUAUGUCAGCGUGUUAUGAACAGCCUUUAGUUGAAGCAGAUUCUGGAAGUCAGAAACCCCUGGUUCUAGCCUUGAUUCACAGUCUUUUAAAAUAUUAAUAGAUUCUAUCUUCUGAUUUAUCUAUGACUUUUCAUCUGUAUUCAUAAAGGCAGUUAAUUUGUAGCUUCCAUUUUUCUCCUACCUUUAUAUUUUGUUUCAUGAUUAUAGUAUUUCAUAAAAAUUAGUUAAGACUCUUCAAUCCAAGGAAUUUUGGAUGCACUAUGGAUACUGGCACAUAUCCAUAAGGUAAUGAUGUGAUAAUAAUAAUUCUCUGGGCCUAGAACUAUUUCAUUUAAAAAGAUAUAGGCAUAAUUUUCUAUUCUUCCAGGUUUUUUUUUCUGUUUUUAUCUGUUUUUGAACCACAUCUGACAAUGUCUAUGUUGUUAACAUUUUUCCAUUAUAUUGGCCUUUCUACAUUUCAGUAUGAAGUAAUGUGUUGAAUUACCUUAAAAAUGUCUAUAGUAACAUUAUGUUCUUAUUCUUUUAUUUGCAUUUAUGCUGUUUUAUAUUUCUCUUCCUUUCUUGAUAAGUUUUGCCAGAAACAUAUUUGUUUUAUUUGCUUAAAAAUUUAAAGUACCAAAGAAAUGUAUUCAUUGUAAAAUUCCAAAAACACAGAAGUGGAAAAAAUUUAACUUCACCAUGUCAGCAUGUACCCUUAUGGAAAUUUCUAUGUGCAAAGUAGAGAAAUAGCCUCAGAUCUAAUCCAUUCUUUAACUCCUCCAUUAUAUUCUCUGCAUGCAAAUUCUACACACAGAUCCCCAGCUACAGGACCUUUAACUGGUCUCUUCUCAUGUCACAAUAACACUGGAGCUAAUAUGGCCAUGUUUGUGUGUAUCUACAUAGAUUAUUUCCUGGAAAUUGAAUUAAUGGUACAAGCAGUAAAUGCAUUAAAAUGUUGAUAGGUAUUGCCUUCCAGAAAAGUCAUCUGCAGCCCCUGUGCAUAAGCCUGGCAACCCAAUAUCAGAUGCUACCUAUAUUGAAAAUGUUUGCCACUCUCAAGGAUGAAAAAUUAAAAUCACCAUUUUUUAACUUGUUCACCUGGCUCGUCAGUGAGGAUGCAAUAUUUUUAAUAGAAACAGAAUUGAAUGUAGAGGUAAACUGAGAAAGAACUGAUCUUUAUUAUAUUAAGCUUCUGAAUUUAGAACCAGGUUAUAUCUCUUCUGUUUUCAAGUCUCUUCUGGCCUUCAGGGAAGUCUUCCAGACUUUUCCACAUAGCACUUAAACAUUUUCCAUUAAUUCCCAGUUUGUUUAUAUUUUUGAUGUUAAUGUCAAUAGUAUUUUCAUCAUUAUAUUUUAUAAGUGGUUAUUGCUGUAAUGUAGAUAAGCUAUUGAUUUUUUAAUUAAACAUUUCAUUUUGAGAUAACUGUAGAUUCACACACAGAAAUAAUACAAAGAAAUCUAGGUAGCUUUUACCCAGUUUCCCCCGAUGGUUAACAUCUUGCAAAAGUAAAGAACAGUAUCUUACUGGGAUAUUGACAACAAGAUACAGACCAUUUUGGAGUUCCUGCUGUGGCUUAGUAGAUUAAAGAUCCAACUGCAGCAGGUCAGCUCACUGUGGAAGUGCAGGUUUGAUCGCCAGCCCAAUGCAGUGGAUUAAGGAUCUGGUGUUGUCGCAGCUAUGGUGUAGAUCACAGCUGCUGUAGCUUGGAUUUGGUCCCUGGCCUGGGAACUUCCUUGUGCCGUGAGUACAGCCAAAAAAAA